rnacentral:rRNA from 1 species
AUACGUAGGUGGCGAGCGUUGUCCGGAUUUACUGGGUGUAAAGGGCGAGUAGGCGGGCUUGCAAGUCAGAUGUGAAAUACCGAGGCUCAACUUCGGGGCUGCAUUUGAAACUGCGAGUCUUGAGUGAUGGAGAGGCAGGCGGAAUUCCCAGUGUAGCGGUAAAAUGCAUGGAUAUUGGGAAGAACACCAGUGGCGAAGGCGGCCUGAUGGGCAUUAACUGACGCUGAGGAGCGAAAGUGUCGGGAGCAAACAGGAUUAGAUACCCUGGUAGUCCACACCGUAAACGAUGGAUACUAGGUGGGCGGGGACUGACCCCCUGCGUGCCGUAGGUAACACAAUAAGUAUUCCGCCUGGGGAGUUCGGCCGCAAGGUUGAAACUCAAAGGAAUUGGCGGGG